ACAAUUUUGUUCCUCGUUUCUUUUCAAGUGUGUCUGAUAGAUUUUUUUAAUACUGUUUUUAAUUAUUUUCUUUGUUUUUAUCAGAUGUAAAUUAGUGUUUCAUUUUAAGUACUUUUUAGCUAUUUUUUUUCUAUGUGUUUGUAAGUAUAUUGAUUUUUUUCCGGCCAUGUUCCUUGUGCUGUGUUUCCAUUGCUUUUAAUAUCGAUAACUUUAACUUUUUUAAUUAAAAUUUUUUUUAUGUUUUCUUGACACAUUUAAUUCUUUUGGUAAUAAUCCUGUCUCUCUAACAGAAUGUAAUUUAGCUUUGUAGGAUAUUUUCUGCUUAAUAGGGUGACACAUGAGGAACAACCGGACAAAGUGGGAUCUGUUUUGCUGAUUGCAACUUCAUCUAAUAUAUUUCAGCUAAGUUGUGCGACAAAUACGGAGCAACCAGAUAAAGUGGAAUCUAUUUUGCUGAUUGCAACUUCAUCUAAGACAAGGGAGCUCCUGUAUCUAGAACUGGGGGAAAUUUGACAGCGUGGAGGAUGUUUUGAUGGAACUAACCCGCAUUUGCAUUACAUGGAGAGGAAGACCACGAGAACCUUCCAUGGUUAGCCUUUCAGCAAGGGGAUCCGUCUACCACUAAGGUAGGUUGACAUUCACCGGUGAAAGAUGACAUUUUCCUCAUUUCGGUGACUAACAGUAAUAUAUGCAUUUCAAACUUUUUUGCUGAUUCUGAAGAUCAUUGGUUUUAUUGAGCUAUAAAUUUUUAAAAAAAAUUUCUUUCCCGCAUCCGUUUCUAAAUGUUAAAAUGCAUCACUCAGUGGAAAAUUUAUAACAUACAUUUUUGUUUCAUUUGUUGCCUAACAAUAUAGGCAAACAUUUUGUUUUUCUGUAAAGUUGGCAUAUUGAUUGCGUAAAAAUGCGUUAAGAAAUUCUUUGGUUUACAAUAGUUUAGGUUGUUCAAACAGUUUUAAAUGUCACUUAAAGUUGAGAAAAAAUAAAAAGUAAUCUUGAAAUCAAAAUAAACUAUGUAGUUAUUGGUACUAGUUAA